rnacentral:rRNA from 1 species
GACGAACGCUGGCGGCGUGCUUAACACAUGCAAGUCGAACGGUGAAGCCCUUCGGGGUGGAUCAGUGGCGAACGGGUGAGUAACACGUGAGCAAUCUGCCCUUGACUCUGGGAUAACUUCGGGAAACCGGAGCUAAUACCGGAUAUGACAUACGGCCGCAUGGUCUGUGUGUGGAAAGAUUUAUUGGUCAGGGAUGAGCUCGCGGCCUAUCAGCUUGUUGGUGGGGAAUGGCCUACCAAGGCGACGACGGGUAGCCGGCCUGAGAGGGCGACCGGCCACACUGGGACUGAGACACGGCCCAGACUCCUACGGGAGGCAGCCGUGGGGAAUAUUGCGCAAUGGGCGAAAGCCUGACGCAGCGACGCCGCGUGAGGGAUGAAGGCCU